AUGAACGCUAGCGGCAGGCUUAACACAUGCAAGUCGAGGGGCAACACGGGUAGCAAUACCUGGUGGCGACCGGCGCAAGGGUGCGUAACGCGUGAGCAACAUGCCCUAUACAGGGGGAUAAUCCAGGGAAACUUGGUCUAAUAUCCCAUAGUAUUUAGAGGUGGCAUCACCACUAAAUUAAAGCUUCGGUGGUAUAGGAUUGGCUCGCGUGACAUUAGCUGGAUGGUGGGGUAACGGCUCACCAUGGCGAUGAUGUCUAGGGGUUCUGAGAGGAAGACCCCCCACACUGGGACUGAGACACGGCCCAGACGUCCUACGGGAGGCAGCAGUGAGGAAUAUUGGACAAUGGAUGGAAAUCUGAUCCAGCCAUGCCGCGUGCAGGAAGACGGCCCUAUGGGUUGUAAACUGCUUUUAUAUGGGAGCAAUAAGGUUUACGCGUAGACCGAUGAGAGUACCAUAUGAAUAAGCAUCGGCUAACUCCGUG
rnacentral:rRNA from 1 species